UGUUCUAACAUGCGGGUUGCCUUCGACGGUCGAAAUCCGGCGGACGGAGCCGCUCCGCUCGGGUUGGAACCUUAUCCCUCACGGUAUCUCUCUCUCACCCUCCACUCGCAUCUCACCCAGAGCCGCCCGCCGGCCAGGACCGCCGGCGCCGCCAGCCGGGCCCGCACGCCGCCGACCCCGCCCGCUGUCUCCUUUCCCGGCCGCCCCGCCGGCGCGCCGGACCCGCUGGAAGCCGCUCUCCUGGCCGGCGGCCGCGCCCGCCCGCCGGUCCCCUGCCCAGAAGCUCCGCCCGCCGGUGUCCCAACCCCCGCGGAGAUCAGUACUGAUUUGAAUAGUUGUGCUGAUUCGAUAGAUGAGUACUGAUUGCUUAAUGUACUAGAGCUAGGAAUUUGGUUAGGCAAGCAGAACUUAUUGCCGAUGCUACUUGCUAGAACCAUUCGGAGCCUCAUGCUAUGUAAGAAAACUGAAACUCAGUUCUGUUUCACUUAACACCAGACUAGUGCAGCUCAUAUCAUCUGAUAGUUUAAGAGCCUACAGAUUUUGCUGACCAGUUGUUCUGUUCAGCGUAAAAAAUUCAGGCUAUGAUGCUUGCCUGCUUCAUCAGUUGGUCCUUUGAAUCCUUGAUACUGCCAAAUCAGAAGCUCUUCUGUUUUGAUUAGUUUUUUCCUAUUGAUUAUGCCCCUUUCAUAUCAGUGACCUCGUGUGCCUAUGUAGUGUUUGGUAAUCUGCAUUCUAUUUUGCUUAACUGCUGCCCAUUACUACCCCUUCCAAUGUGUAGCCAUCCAAUGUCUAACAGAUGAUAACAUUUUGUCAGGCUCCAUUCAGAGCUCCCCAUUCAGUCAUUUUCAUUCAGUUUCGUCAGUCACAAGACAACAGAUACAUGCUCGAGAGCACAGGCUUCAACUUCAACCCUUGGAUCUUCAUUAGAAGGUUGUGGUCCAGGCCUCGAGUUGUGCCGGCACGUUCAUCGUAGACCCGCCAUGAAUCCUCAUUACAUUCAGUGAGCAAUCUAAUUCAAGCAGCCUGCAUGCCUCGAACUGCAACCAAAAAAAACUUAGUAUACAAAUAUUAAAAGAUCGAAAAUGCCGUCAAUAUUUACUCACCGCUCCA